rnacentral:rRNA from 1 species
AUCUACAUCCCUACCUCCCAGAACACGCCCAAUCUCAUCUGAUCUUGGAAACUAAGCAGUGUCUGGCCUAGUUAGUACUUGGAUGGGAGGAUGUACAAC